ACAAAUGAGAUGAGAGGUUCUGCCUGGUGGUGACAUCAGAAACCCUACUGGGUGUGUGUGGAAAACAAAUGAGAUGAGAGGUUCUGCCUGGUGGUGACAUCAGAAACCCUACUGGGUGUGUGUGGAAAACAAAUGAGAUGAGAGGUUCUGCCUGGUGGUGACAUCAGAAACCCUACUGGGUGUGUGUGGAAAACAAAUGAGAUGAGAGGUUCUGCCUGGUGGUGACAUCAGAAACCCUACUGGGUGUGUGUGGAAAACAAAUGAGAUGAGAGGUUCUGCCUGGUGGUGACAUCAGAAACCCUACUGGGUGUGUGUGGAAAACAAAUGAGAUGAGAGGUUCUGCCUGGUGGUGACAUCAGAAACCCUACUGGGUGUGUGUGGAAAACAAAUGAGAUGAGAGGUUCUGCCUGGUGGUGACAUCAGAAACCCUACUGGGUGUGUGUGGAAAACAAAUGAGAUGAGAGGUUCUGCCUGGUGGUGACAUCAGAAACCCUACUGGGUGUGUGUGGAAAACAAAUGAGAUGAGAGGUUCUGCCUGGUGGUGACAUCAGAAACCCUACUGGGUGUGUGUGGAAAACAAAUGAGAUGAGAGGUUCUGCCUGGUGGUGACAUCAGAAACCCUACUGGGUGUGUGUGGAAAACAAAUGAGAUGAGAGGUUCUGCCUGGUGGUGACAUCAGAAACCCUACUGGGUGUGUGUGGAAAACAAAUGAGAUGAGAGGUUCUGCCUGGUGGUGACAUCAGAAACCCUACUGGGUGUGUGUGGAAAACAAAUGAGAUGAGAGGUUCUGCCUGGUGGUGACAUCAGAAACCCUACUGGGUGUGUGUGGAAAACAAAUGAGAUGAGAGGUUCUGCCUGGUGGUGACAUCAGAAACCCUACUGGGUGUGUGUGGAAAACAAAUGAGAUGAGAGGUUCUGCCUGGUGGUGACAUCAGAAACCCUACUGGGUGUGUGUGGAAAACAAAUGAGAUGAGAGGUUCUGCCUGGUGGUGACAUCAGAAACCCUACUGGGUGUGUGUGGAAAACAAAUGAGAUGAGAGGUUCUGCCUGGUGGUGACAUCAGAAACCCUACUGGGUGUGUGUGGAAAACAAAUGAGAUGAGAGGUUCUGCCUGGUGGUGACAUCAGAAACCCUACUGGGUGUGUGUGGAAAACAAAUGAGAUGAGAGGUUCUGCCUGGUGGUGACAUCAGAAACCCUACUGGGUGUGUGUGGAAAACAAAUGAGAUGAGAGGUUCUGCCUGGUGGUGACAUCAGAAACCCUACUGGGUGUGUGUGGAAAACAAAUGAGAUGAGAGGUUCUGCCUGGUGGUGACAUCAGAAACCCUACUGGGUGUGUGUGGAAAACAAAUGAGAUGAGAGGUUCUGCCUGGUGGUGACAUCAGAAACCCUACUGGGUGUGUGUGGAAAACAAAUGAGAUGAGAGGUUCUG